rnacentral:rRNA from 1 species
GAUGAACGCUAGCUACAGGCUUAACACAUGCAAGUCGAGGGGAAACGACAUCGAAAGCUUGCUUUUGAUGGGCGUCGACCGGCGCACGGGUGAGUAACGCGUAUCCAACCUGCCCACCACUUGGGGAUAACCUUGCGAAAGUAAGACUAAUACCCAAUGACGUCUCUAGAAGACAUCUGAAAGAGAUUAAAGAUUUAUCGGUGAUGGAUGGGGAUGCGUCUGAUUAGCUUGUUGGCGGGGUAACGGCCCACCAAGGCGACGAUCAGUAGGGGUUCUGGGAGGAAGGUCCCCAACAGUGGCACGGAGACACGGUCCAAACUCCUACGGGAGGCAGCAGUGAGGAAUAUUGGUCAAUGGUCGAGAGCCUGAACCAGCCAAGUAGCGUGCAGGAUGACGGCCCUAUGGGUUGUAAACUGCUUUUAUAGGGGAAUAAAGUGAGUCUCGUGAGACUUUUUGCAUGUACCUUAUGAAUAAGGACCGGCUAAUUCCGUGCCAGCCGCCGCCGCAG